GAUGAACGCUGGCGGCGUGCCUAAUACAUGCAAGUCGAGCGAACGGACGAGAAGCUUGCUUCUCUGACGAUAGCGGCGGACGGGAGAGUAACACGUGGAUAACCUACCUAUAAGACGGGGAUAAUCUCGGGAAACCGGAGCUAAUCCCGGAUAAUAUUCUGAACCGCAUGGUUCAAAAGUGAAAGACGGUCUUGCUGUCACUUAUAGAUGGAUCCGCGCUGCAUUAGCUAGUUGGUAUGGUAACGGCUUACCAAGGCAACGAGGCAUAGCCGACCUGAGAGGGUGAUCGGCCACACUGGAACUGAGACACGGUCCAGACUCCUGCGGGAGGCAGCAGUAGGGAAUCGUCCGCAAUGGGCGAAAGCCUGACGGAGCAACGCGGAGUGAGUGAUGAAGGUCUUCGGAUCGUAAAACUCUGUUAUUAGGGAAGAACAUAUGUGUAAGUAACUGUGCAGAUCUUGACGGUACCUAAUCAGAAAGCCACGGCUAACUACGUG
rnacentral:rRNA from 1 species